AGUGAACGCUGGCGGUAGGCCUAACACAUGCAAGUCGAACGGCAGCACAGUAAGAGCUUGCUCUUACGGGUGGCGAGUGGCGGACGGGUGAGGAAUACAUCGGAAUCUACUUUUUCGUGGGGGAUAACGUAGGGAAACUUACGCUAAUACCGCAUACGACCUACGGGUGAAAGCAGGGGAUCUUCGGACCUUGCGCGAUUGAAUGAGCCGAUGUCGGAUUAGCUAGUUGGCGGGGUAAAGGCCCACCAAGGCGACGAUCCGUAGCUGGUCUGAGAGGAUGAUCAGCCACACUGGAACUGAGACACGGUCCCGACUCCUACGGGAGGCAGCAGUGGGGAAUAUUGGACAAUGGGCGCAAGCCUGAUCCAGUCAUACCGCGUGGGUGAAGAAGGCCUUCGGGUUGUAAAGCCCUUUUGUUGGGAAAGAAAAGCAGCAGGUUAAUACCCCGCUGUUCUGACGGUACCCAAAGAAUAAGCACCGGCUAACUUCGUG
rnacentral:rRNA from 1 species